UACGUAGGGUGCAAGCGUUAAUCGGAAUUACUGGGCGUAAAGCGUGCGCAGGCGGUGAUGUAAGACAGGUGUGAAAUCCCCGGGCUUAACCGUGGAACUGCAUUUGUGACUGCAUCGCUGGAGUGCGGCAGAGGGGGAUGGAAUUCCGCGUGUAGCAGUGAAAUGCGUAGAUAUGCGGAGGAACACCGAUGGCGGAGGCAAUCCCCUGGGCCUGCACUGACGCUCAUGCACGAAAGCGUGGGGAGCAAACAGGAUUGAGACUACCGUAGUCAGUCCAAGAC
rnacentral:rRNA from 1 species